rnacentral:rRNA from 1 species
UGGGGAAUAUUGGACAAUGGGCGCAAGCCUGAUCCAGCCAUGCCGCGUGAGUGAUGAAGGCCCUAGGGUUGUAAAGCUCUUUCACCGGUGAAGAUAAUGACGGUAACCGGAGAAGAAGCCCCGGCUAACUUCGUGCCAGCAGCCGCGGUAAUACGAAGGGGGCUAGCGUUGUUCGGAUUUACUGGGCGUAAAGCGCACGUAGGCGGACUAUUAAGUCAGGGGUGAAAUCCCGGGGCUCAACCCCGGAACUGCCUUUGAUACUGGUAGUCUUGGGUUCGGGAGAGGUGGGUGGAAUUCCGAGUGUAGAGGUGAAAUUCGUAGAUAUUCGGAGGAACACCAGUGGCGAAGGCGGCUCACUGGCUCGAUACUGACGCUAGGGUGCGAAAGCGUGGGGAGCAAACAGG